CUCUGUUCAUUGUGGUUCAGUCUGUCGGAGGAUGAGGAUGAACAUCUGCAGCUGCCUGUUAGCUUUAGUUCUGGGCUGUAAUGUGACAGCAGAGCUUUGCACAGUCAGGCUUGCUGUCUGUCUCACACAAACGCCUUAAGACUCGAGGUGAUCGAGUUUUUGAAGUCGUAGCAUCUAAACUAUGUAACGCUCUGCCUGCUCCCUCACAGUCUGCUGACUCUGUGGAUUCAUUUAAAAAGCAGCUAAAGACAAACUCGUUUAGACAGGCAGGGUAACCUGUAAGCACCAGAAAUAAUCCAUCAAAUAGUCAAAGAGGAGCAACAAGUCUCUCUGCAUUGUUCUCACUCUGUGGAGGGUAAAGUGACGUGGAGCAGAGAGAUUAAUGGAAACACAGUUGACAUAUUAAUAGCUGAUGGUGACGGAGACCAAAGAUUCAAUGACUCCCACAAACGAUACAGUUCAUUAGCAGAUAAGUCACUGCACAUCUCUAGAGUUGCUGUCUCAGACUCUGGAAAAUACUUGUGUAAUAAUGAAUCAGCUGUGGAACUGACGGUGAUCCCAUCAGGUAACAUCAAACUCUGUCAAAGUUGUUCUGCUUCCUGUUUCUUCCUGUUUCAAAGUCUCGUCUCUGUGCUUCACUUUUCAUUUUCUAAACUGUGAUUAAAUACAUACAUUGACAUAUUAAUGAAAUGAUGCAUUUCAAAGGUAAAUGUGGUUUUAACUUCAAUAACAAAUAUAUUGUAAGA